AUGUGAAAUUAACUCACAGACAGCGUUUCUUUUUUAUUCUUUCCCGGUAAAUCUGAAAAGCUUUGCGUAUAAGUGAGCUUUCAGACUUUUUUUUGCUUGCGUUGUACACCUAGCAACAAGCUAACGGCAAACGCCAAACGCGCCAGAUGCAUACGUCAUGCGACAGCCACGCCAUCGAAGUGACCGAGGCCGGCUGCUCAUGUGAAGUUCGCCUGUUCGUCGACCCGUGACUUUUGGAAUUAGCCUGUUUGUUGGGCCCCCAGUGUAUUCUUGCGCUCCUUCUUCACUUCGACACGGCACCACUGCACUAUUGGCCUACAGCAAGAACCCGACGGAGUCAGUGCGGUAGGGCUACCACUACGCCAACGAGGGUUGAAGCGACAGGCUGAGUAAUAGUACCACUCUUUUCCGACAGCUGUCUCUACAAGAAGCUCCUUGUAGAGACAUCGUGCCGGGAAGUCUAACGACGCCGCUCUCACGCUCGACACGUGAUGUGCAGCCGUGGUUACCGGCCAGAAUCUGUGCAGCAGGAAGUACCUAGGGAUAAUGGUUCAGAUGUGCCUCCAGCUGUCGACUCUCACUUCUCAGUUCGAAGCCAGGGCCGUUAUGCACGCAAAAGCUACUUCGAAGCCACGUUUACACCGAUGAGGCUUCCUCUGAGACAGUACAGCGCAAGACUGGCCAUGGAAAUGUCUAAAGCGCAAUUCCCCAAAUGUACACAAUGAACUCAUCUUCUACUUGACAGUGUUUGACAUUGUGCAAGAUAGCCGACAACUGCAAGACUGCAGGAACAGAAGGAUGUUACGACAGAAUGUCUGCGAGCUGCGCUACAGUGCACUCUUUGGGCACUCUAUAAGCAAAAGAAGUAUUAGCAACUCUUUUAAAUUGACGAUUUCUUUGCGAACCCUCCAGGCUUUGCUGACCGUGGCUGCUCCUGUUUUACCGAAUAAAUAAACACAGGACAACACACACGGUCGCUGCAGAUGUGCUGGUCACCGGGUAUAUUCUCUGUGAAAUCACUCAAUGAAACAACAAACGUUGCCUAUACCAUGUGUCUCAGCCAACGUUAACCGAACUGCUUAUGGCAAGAAUAGAUUAACUAAAUUAUGCACAGUGCAAGAUAUGGCUAUAAGGCUUACGGUGUUCGUUUGUGAGAGUUCUGACAACUUAACACCGUAUGUCUCAAAAUCGUUCCUUGCACCGCGUUUCUUAAAUCCAUUUCUCUUAAGAGCUUCGCUCACGUUAGCUGGGAUAGCCUACGUGUCCGCACUGGAACAAACAUAUGGCUUCGA